rnacentral:rRNA from 1 species
UACAGAGACUGCAAGCGUUAUUCGGAUUCACUGGGCGUAAAGGGUGCGCAGGCGGCCAAGUGUGUGAGGCGUGAAAGCCCGGGGCUUAACCCCGGAAUUGCACCUCAAACUACUUGGCUAGAGCAUUGGAGAGGGAUGCAGAAUUCCAGGUGUAGCGGUGAAAUGCGUAGAUAUCUGGAGGAAUACCGGUGGCGAAGGCGGCAUCCUGGACCGGCAUUGACGCUGAGUGAGCGAAAGCCAGGGGAGCAAACGGG